UACAGAGGUCUCAAGCGUUGUUCGGAUUCAUUGGGCGUAAAGGGUGCGUAGGCGGCGCGGUAAGUCGGGUGUGAAAUCUCGGAGCUUAACUGCGAAACUGCAUUCGAUACUGCCGUGCUUGAGGACUGGAGAGGAGACUGGAAUUUACGGUGUAGCGGUGAAAUGCGUAGAUAUCGUAAGGAAGACCAGUGGCGAAGGCAGGUCUCUGGACAGUUCCUGACGCUGAGGCACGAAGGUCAGGGGAGCAAACGGG
rnacentral:rRNA from 1 species